UUGAUCCUGCCGGACCCGACUGCUAUCAGAGUGAGAUUAAGCCAUGCGAGUCAACGUAGCAAUACGUGGCAUACGGCUCAGUAACACGUAGUCAACAUAACCAAAGGACGUGGAUAAACUCGGGAAACUGAGGAUAAACCGCGAUAGAUCAAGAUACCUGGAAUGGUUAAUGAUCAAAAUCUAUAUGGCCUUUGGAUUGGACUGCGUCCGAUCAGGCUGUUGGUGAGGUAAUGGCCCACCAAACCUGUAACCGGUACGGGCUCUGAGAGGAGGAGCCCGGAGAUGGGUACUGAGAUAAGGACCCAGGCCCUAUGGGGCGCAGCAGGCGCGAAACCUCUGCAAUAGGCGAAAGCUUGACAGGGUUACUCUGAGUGACUUUCGUUAAGAAAGUCUUUUGACACCUCUAAAAAUGGUGUAGAAUAAGGGGUGGGCAAGUCUGGUGUCAGCCGCCGCGGUAAUACCAGCACCCCGAGUGGUCGGGACGAUUAUUGGGCCUAAAGCAUCCGUAGCCGGCCUUACAAGUCCUCCGUUAAAUCCAGCUGCUUAACAGAUGGGCUGCGGAGGAUACUAUAAGACUAGGAGGCAGGAGAGGCAAGCGGUACUCAGUGGGUAGGGGUAAAAUCCGUUGAUCCAUUGAAGACCACCAGUGGCGAAGGCGGCUUGCCAGAAUGCGCUCGACGGUGAGGGAUGAAAGCUGGGGGAGCAAACCGGAUUAGAUACCCGGGUAGUCCCAGCCGUAAACGAUGCAGACUCGGUGAUGGACUAGCUUUAUGCUGGUCCAGUGCCGCAGGGAAGCCGUUAAGUCUGCCGCCUGGGUAGUACGGUCGCAAGACUGAAACUAAAGGAAUUGGCGGGGGAGCACCUC
rnacentral:rRNA from 1 species